AGCCGUUCCGAGGGGUGCUCCGAGGAGGAGCUGAGAUACCGCUAAAUGGGCAAACCCGCCCAGGACCGCGGUGACCCUUUGAACCUGAUCCGGGUCAUGCCGGCGAAGGGACAGGGAUGUUGCAGACGA
rfam:Bradyrhizobium sp. LTSP849 NODE_52, whole genome shotgun sequence.